GCAGCACUACUCAAAUAGAACUCCCAGGAGGUAACAGCGUGUCACACAUGUGAUGUCAUAACCAUUGUCCACCAGGGAGCAGCACUGAGCAGAAAUAACACGGCUCCUGCUCAUUGUUCAUCAGUCAGAGGCCGAUGCUGGACGCUGUACCCGGGAAUGGAGACUCAUACACAUGACUGUGACUGCCGAUGCAGUAUUUCCAGCAUGUGGAGUCGCAUUUCCGGACCUACAGCAAGAAGUUGGAUGAAGACAUAACCCCUGGAAUCACGCACAUACACAGACACUUUGCCCAAAUUCUAGAGGUAACCUCCUUUAGUAUGCCCAGAGGAAGGGCAGUACAGUAGCCAUGGAUUCCCUACAGGUUUCCUCCCCUCUGGAGGUUUUUCCUGUCCUGAGUAUUAGUUACUGUUCGCUCUUAGUGAGUGAUGGAGGUUACAUAAAAUCCCUACACAAACAUUGUAAGAAAUAAUAAAUAAAGUUCACCCUUUUUUAAACCAU